rnacentral:tRNA from 3 species
GCGAGCGUAGUGUAGUGGUUAUCACCCCACGUUGCCAACGUGGGAACCCGGGUUCGAGUCCCGGCGCUCGCACCA